GUCCCUUCUAGGCCUUUUAGCUAAAAUCAAGUGUAGCAUCCGUUCUUGCCAAUUUUAUGCCACAGAUAUCUUCAAUAUGAGGACACGAUGUUAAAUGAGUCUGAGAAGAGGGAGGUGGACUUGGAGCUUGCUCUGUGCUGUGACCUAGCAAUGGAGUCCCC
rnacentral:snRNA from 1 species